UGGUGGAGUGAUUUGUCUGGUUAAUUCCGAUAACGAACGAGACCUUAACCUGCUAAUUAGUCAGGCCCACAAUUUUGUUGGGAUUUCUGGCUUCUUAGAGGGACUGUUGAUGUUUAAUCAACGGAAGUUUGAGGCAAUAACA
rnacentral:rRNA from 1 species